rnacentral:rRNA from 1 species
GACGUAGGGUGCAAGCGUUGUCCGGAUUUACUGGGCGUAAAGAGCGCGUAGGCGGUCUGCUAAGUGAGAAGUGAAAUCUCCAGGGCUUAACCCGGAAAUUGCUUUUCAUACUGACAGACUGGAGGAAUGCAGAGGUAUGUGGAAUUCCUGGUGUAGCGGUGAAAUGCGUUGAUAUCAGGAGGAACACCCAUGGCGAAGGCAGCAUACUGGGCAUUAUCUGACGCUGAGGCGCGAAAGCGUGGGUAGCAAACAGG